rnacentral:rRNA from 1 species
GAUGAACGCUGGCGGCGUGCCUAAUACAUGCAACUCGAGCGAACAGACGAGGAGCUUGCUCCUUCGACGUUAGCGGCGGACGGGUGAGUAACACGUAGGUAACCUACCUAUAAGACUGGGAUAACUUCGGGAAACCGGAGCUAAUACCGGAUAAUAUUUCGAACCGCAUGGUUCGAUAGUGAAAGAUGGCUUUGCUAUCACUUAUAGAUGGACCUGCGCCGUAUUAGCUAGUUGGUAAGGUAACGGCUUACCAAGGCAACGAUACGUAGCCGACCUGAGAGGGUGAUCGGCCACACUGGAACUGAGACACGGUCCAGACUCCUACGGGAGGCAGCAGUAGGGAAUCUUCCGCAAUGGGCGAAAGCCUGACGGAGCAACGCCGCGUGAGUGAUGAAGGUCUUCGGAUCGUAAAACUCUGUUAUUAGGGAAGAACAAACGUGUAAGUAACUGUGCACGUCUUGACGGUACCUAAUCAGAAAGCCACGGCUAACUACGUG